rnacentral:rRNA from 1 species
AUUGAACGCUGGCGGCAGGCCUAACACAUGCAAGUCGAGCGGAUGAAGGGAGCUUGCUCCUGGAUUCAGCGGCGGACGGGUGAGUAAUGCCUAGGAAUCUGCCUGGUAGUGGGGGAUAACGUCCGGAAACGGGCGCUAAUACCGCAUACGUCCUGAGGGAGAAAGUGGGGGAUCUUCGGACCUCACGCUAUCAGAUGAGCCUAGGUCGGAUUAGCUAGUUGGUGGGGUAAAGGCCUACCAAGGCGACGAGCCGUAACUGGUCUGAGAGGAUGACCAGUCACACUGGAAGUGAGACACGGUCCAGACUCCUACGGGGGGACGCAGUGGGGAAUAUUGGGCGAUGGGGGAAAGCCUGAUCCAGCCAUGCCGCGUGUGUGAUGAAGGUCUUCGGAUUGGAAAGCGCUGUAGGUUGGGAGGAAGGGCAGUAAGUUAAUACCUUACUGUUUUGACGGUACCGACAGAAUAAGCUCCGGCUAACUUCGUG